rnacentral:rRNA from 1 species
AUGAGCUCGUCGGCGGCCAAGAAGGGGGCGUCGAUGGUGGUGGCGACGAGCAUGGCGGCCGUGGAGGCGCUCAAGGACCAGGCGGGGCUGUGCCGCUGGGACUACGCGCUCCGCUCGCUCUACCACCGCGCCGUCGUCACCGGCCGCCGCGCCGUCCCGGCGUCCCUCACCUCCACCUCCUCCUCCUCCCAGGCCACGAGCGGCAGUGUGGCCGUCGUCGGGAGGGCUGCCCGGCCCAGGCGAUCCGAGGAGGAGAAGCUGCACAUGGCGUACCACAUCGUCUGCUGGGGCCCCAACUGA